rnacentral:rRNA from 1 species
CCAUACGGGUUGAAGCAUGACCGUAAGGACAUGUGGACAGUAUGGGAGUGAGAAUGUUGGCAUGAGUAGCGAGAUGUGGGUGAGAAUCCCACAGGCCGUAAACCCAAGGUUUCCAGGGGAAGGUUCGUCCGCCCUGGGUUAGUCGGGACCUAAGCUGAGGCCGAAAGGCGUAGGUGAUGGACAACAGGUUGAUAUUCCUGUACUACCGAUAACCGUUUGAGAGA